GGAUGAACGCUGGCGGCGUGCCUAAUACAUGCAAGUCGAGCGAACAGACGAGGAGCUUGCUCCUCUGACGUUCGCGGCGGACGGGUGAGUAACACGUGGAUAACCUACCUAUAAGGCUGGGAUAACUUCGGGAAACCGGAGCUAAUACCGGAUAAUAUAUUGAACCGCAUGGUUCAAUAGUGAAAGACGGUUUUGCUGUCACUUAUAGAUGGAUCCGCGCCGCAUUAGCUAGUUGGUAAGGUAACGGCUUACCAAGGCGACGAUGCGUAGCCGACCUGAGAGGGUGAUCGGCCACACUGGAACUGAGACACGGUCCAGACUCCUACGGGAGGCAGCAGUAGGGAAUCUUCCGCAAUGGGCGAAAGCCUGACGGAGCAACGCCGCGUGAGUGAUGAAGGUCUUCGGAUCGUAAAACUCUGUUAUUAGGGAAGAACAAAUGUGUAAGUAACUAUGCACGUCUUGACGGUACCUAAUCAGAAAGCCACGGCUAACUACGUG
rnacentral:rRNA from 1 species